rnacentral:lncRNA from 1 species
CAGGUGAGAAAUCUGCAGUGAAGAAAGGUACAUCCCAAGGGGACACCGACAGCUGAGGGAGAGAAGAUCUGAGUCAGAGAGGAGUUCUGGAGAAACCAAGCGCAUCCCCCUCAACAUGAACUCCAGUCAAGAUUGGUCAGGUGCAGUGGCUUAUGCCUGUAAUCCCAGCUGAGGCAGGAGGAUCGCUUGAGCCCAGGAGUUUGAGACCAGCCUCGCCCACAUCUUCCAUCAGAGGAUCCCACGAAAACAGUGCCAAAGAGAAUUCAGAACUACGUCCACUGGUCCAGUAACCCAUGAUAAGAAAACUGAGGCUCAGAACGGGAAGUUCAUUGCUCAUCAUCAAACAUCCAGGAAAUGGUGGAGCCUGAAUGGGAACUCAGCUUCCAACAUGGCGUGGAUGUGGCCCAUCCCUUGGUGGCCUGGCUGGGUCUAUCUUAUGACAGUACGAGAUUGAAUGUUGGAGUGCCUUGCAGAAGAGAGAGAAAAUGUUGCUAAAACUUCAGGGGAAUGACUGGU